CAUUGCACUGCAGCCCAGGCGACAGUCCGAUACUCCAUCUAAAAAAAUAAAUCAAGUUAUCCAUAUUUGCCCAACAGACCUCAAAACUGCUAAAGAGGCCAGGAUUAAGUAUCAGAUUUUCUAGAUAGUUUUUCUAAACAUUUGGACUUAGAAAUUUCAAGUAAAAAUGUGUUUUGUUGUGAACAGAAAUACACCGGCAUUAUUACCUAAGUGUAUUUCCAAGAUGUUGCCACGUAUGUUUUCUUAUUUACAGCUAGAGUUAAUUAUGAAAAUUGUGCGGUUGGAGGCGAGGUGGGGGUGGCCGUUUGUUUUCUCGUGGUCUCCAACUAGCAUGUUCUCAUCCCCGCCCCCGCGGCGUGCAGCAGGGUGGAGAAAAGGUGGCAACAGCGGCUGGAGCAGCAGAGGCUGUAGCAUCUGACACCCUCCUCCCACGAACCGGUUCCUCUUCCCCCUCCUCACUGUGUGUUUGAUGUGUUAAAGCAGGAGCGAGAACGCGAGCAGCGCCAUGAGCAACACUACCAUCGUCCCCAGCACUGCGGAUCCGGGCCGCAGCGGCAGGCCCAGUAGCGGAGGAGGUGGUGGCGGCGGCAUCGAGGUAAUAGGUGACUAAUCUCCCCGAGCGCUAGCUCUGAGCAGAUGCGGACUCUCUUCGGUUUCCUAGGCAAGAUCGACGAAGCACACCUCUUCCCGCCGGAUAAUUCACCUUUGCCAAUCUCAAUCUCGUUGAGUUCCAUGAUCCAGACUCAGCAGUUGUCGCACCAUGUCUGACAAACACUGUACUCCUUGACAGAGCUUUGAUAACGUACCAUAUGCAGAAGGAGUUAUUCCUGAUAAGGCUGAGGCUUGUCUCUGUUGGCACCAGCUAAUGCAAUGGCAGGUCUUCUGCCUGGUGUUGGGCUCCUGCCUACUCCUAACCCACUUACUCAGGCUGGCGCUGUUCCACCUGCUGCUUUGGGGGCUCCUAUUCUUGUUCCUGCCCUUGCCGCACUUGGGCUUCCUGGAGCAAACUGGAACUCAGUCUGCUGCCACAGAUCAGUUGCUGAAGCUUAUGAGUACUAUUGAUCCCAAGUUGAAGCAUGUAGCUGCUGGUCUUGUUUCACCAAGUCUGAAAUCGGAUACCUCUAGUAAAGAAAUAGAGAAAGGGGAAGCUAUGAAAAGAGUACAAGAAGCACACUCCGUAAUUUCGUCUGCUAUAGAACCAGAUAAAGAAGAAAGAAGGCAUUCAAGAUCACAUUCUAGGAGGAGGACUCUCAUCUUCUAGACACAGUCAAGAAGCAGAUCAAGAGAGUGAUUACAUUGUAAGUCUAGGAGUCGUUGAUUACCCAAAAGCUCAAGACAGAGAAGAUCUCAUUCCAGAGAGAGAGGUAGAAGGUCAAGGAGCACAUCAAAAACGAAGGACAAAAACAAAGAAGACAGAAGAAACGUUCGAAAACACCCCCAGAAAGUUACAGCACAGCUAGACAUUAUAGAAGUACAGAGAGACGACAACGAAGAAGCAGGAGUGGAACAAGAUCUUCUAAAAAGUCUCAGUCUCCUAAAAGAAAAUUGUCUCUCUCACCAUCCCCUGGGAAACAUAAGAAGAAAGAUAAAGAAAAAUAGGAAUGAAAGAGAAUGAUCAACAAGCAAGAAGAAGAGUAAAGAUAAGGAAAAGGACCGGGAAAGAAAAUCAGAGUGAUACAGAUGUAAAAGUUACACGGGUUUAUGAUGAAGAGGAACAAGGGUAUGACAGUGAGAGAAAAAAAAGAGAAGAAAGCAAUAGAAGUAGGUUCCCCUAAAACAAAGAAACAUUCUGUGGAAAAGGGAACUGGUGACUCACUAGGAGAACACAAAGUGAAUGGGAAUGAUCAUCAUGAAGAAGACAUGGAUAUGAGUGACUGAAUAUUGCCUCUAUGGGAAUCCAGCUGUAUACAUGCAUCAGUGUCAUUCCUUUGUGUGAUUGCUCAAUGUUGUAUUUGUUCAUCUCAACCCUAGAUGUAUAUAGCUCUGAGUUAUUAAUGGUUAUAAAGCUCUUGUUACUGAUAUUACUUAUUUACAUCAAAAAGCUUUUAGAAAAUGGUAUGACGUAAGCAAUUCUUGUCAUGGUGAAAUCUGAUGGUGUAACCCGUUUUACUAUUGGUGCUGCUUCAUAACAAAAAUGAAAAGCUACAUGCAUCUACAGCAAGAAUGGAUUGUUUAUGUCAUAUAAUUUCCUUUAAGUUCACUUAUAGUACUUAUAGAAUUUUAUUCAUUGCCAUAAUAGAGCCAUGUAGGAAAUGCACUGAUUGCAUGUUAUUGUGGCAAGAAUAUCCUAAAUGUCAUUAAAAUCCUCCAACAUGA